AUGGUACAAAUGAAACUAUAUCCAAAACUCACAGAUUUCAAAGGCUGCUUGACCUACUACAUGAAAUUAACAGUGAAGAUGUAUAUUUUUCCCCCUCUAGCACAAGCUUCUGAAAGCAAUGAUGAGAGAAAACUUGCUAUGAUGGAGACCAAUGGAAAAUUUCCCAUCUCUGCUUCUGUAAAUGAAGAUCUAAGUACAAAACUGGACUGGCCAAGACGAAUGCAAAGGGCUCUGGACAGAACAGCACGGAGACACCACAAAAAGGACAAAUGGGACACUCAUUCCUGCAGGAAAACUCCAAACACACUUUCUUCAGGAUUCAGGUGUGAGAACUUUUGGCAGCAGAGCUGUCCUGCAUCAACGAGGUGAUUUUUGCUAACUUGGUGACUGACGGACCCUGGUCCCUCGCUGGGGUAGGAUUGACCUAAAUGGACAGUUCCCUGAGCAAUGAAGGAGAUAUUUCCUAAAAAACUGUGUUCAAGAUCUGCUUUCAUUUGAACCUGUCCUGAAGUCAAAGAAGUCACUAUGGCUUUAUCUGAAAGCAGAAUUUUGUAUAAAAUCUUCAUUACAUGCCAAUUCCACCAGGAUAAUUCAUAGUUAAG
rnacentral:lncRNA from 1 species